UACGGGGGGGGCAAGCGUUGUUCGGAAUUACUGGGCGUAAAGGGCUCGUAGGCGGCCAACUAAGUCAGACGUGAAAUCCCUCAGCUUAACUGGGGAACUGCGUCUGAUACUGGAUGGCUUGAGAUUGGGAGAGGGAUGCGGAAUUCCAGGUGUAGCGGUGAAAUGCGUAGAUAUCUGGAGGAACACCGGUGGCGAAGGCGGCAUCCUGGACCAACACUGACGCUGAGGAGCGAAAGCCAGGGGAGCAACCGGG
rnacentral:rRNA from 1 species